GAUGAACGCUGGCGGCGCGCCUAAUACAUGCAAGUCGAGCGAACAGACGAGGAGCUUGCUCCUCUGACGUUAGCGGCGGACGGGUGAGUAACACGUGGAUAACCUACCUAUAAGACUGGGAUAACUUCGGGAAACCGGAGCUAAUACCGGAUAAUAUAUUGAACCGCAUGGUUCAAUAGUGAAAGACGGUUUUGCUGUCACUUAUAGAUGGAUCCGCGCCGCAUUAGCUAGUUGGUAAGGUAACGGCUUACCAAGGCAACGAUGCUUAGCCGCCCUGAGAGGGUGAUCGGCCACGCUGGAACUGAGACACGGUCCAGACUCCUACGGGAGGCAGCAGUAGGGAAUCUUCCGCAAUGGGCGAAAGCCUUACGGAGCAACGCCGCGUGAGUGAUGAAGGUCUUCGGAUCGUAAAACUCUGUUAUUAGGGAAGAACAAAUGUGUAAGUAACUAUGCACGUCUUGACGGUACCUAAUCAGAAAGCCACGGCUAACUACGUG
rnacentral:rRNA from 1 species